UAUCAACGCAUGCUCUACUACUGCAG
rnacentral:misc_RNA from 1 species